rnacentral:misc_RNA from 1 species
GAUGAAGAACGCAGCGAACUGCGAUAAGUAAUGUGAAUUGCAGAAUUCAGUGAAUCAUCGAGUCUUUGAACGCACAUUGCGCCCCCUGGCAUUCCGGGGGGCAUGCCAGUCCGAGCGUCAUUGCUGCCCUUCAAGCCCGGCUUGUGUGUUGGGUCGUCGUCCCCCCCGGGGGACGGGCCCGAAAGGCAGCGGCGGCACCGCGUCCGGUCCUCGAGCGUAUGGGGCUUUGUCACCCGCUCGAUUAGGGCCGGCCGGGCGCCAGCCGGCGUCUCCAACCUUCUAUUUUACCAGGUUGACCUCGGAUCAGGUAGGGAUACCCGCUGAACUUAAGCAUAUCAAUAAGCGGAGGA